AUGGGACUGGUGGAGAGGGGAAGGAGUGGUAAUGGGACUGGUGGAUAGGGGAAGGAUUGGUAAUGGGACUGGUGGAUAGGGGAAGGGUUGGUAAUGGGACUGGUGGAUAGGGGAAGGGUUGGUGAUGGGACUGGUGGAUAGGGGAAGGAUUGGUAAUGGGACUGGUGGAUAGGGGAAGGAUUGGUAAUGGGACUGGUGGAUAGGGGAAGGGUUGGUAAUGGGACUGGUGGAUAGGGGAAGGGUUGGUAAUGGGACUGGUGGAUAGGGGAAGGGUUGGUAAUGGGACUGGUGGAUAGGGGAAGGGUUGGGAAUGGGACUGGUGGAUAGGGGAAGGAUUGGUAAUGGGACUGGUGGAUAGGGGAAGGAUUGGUAAUGGGACUGGUGGAUAGGGGAAGGAUUGGUAAUGGGACUGGUGGAUAGGGGAAGGAUUGGUAAUGGGACUGGUGGAUAGGGGAAGGGUUGGUAAUGGGACUGGUGGAUAGGGGAAGGUUUGGUAAUGGGACUGGUGGAUAGGGGAAGGAUUGGUAAUGGGACUGGUGGAUAGGGGAAGGAUUGGUAAUGGGACUGGUGGAUAGGGGAAGGGUUGGUAAUGGGACUGGUGGAUAG